GAAGAAGUUUGAUCAACCAAGACACACUUACCACAAUUCAAGCCAUCUCAGCUCCAAGAUAGACAUCAAAUGAGCAAGUACCAUGGCAGGAGAUCAAAAAGGAGAACUCACUAAGGAUGAAAAGCUUUUACUUAAGGCUAUGAGUGCUCAGAUGCAGGAGAAGAUGAAAGCCAGCCUUGAUAAAUUCCGGCAUGAGUUGAGACAGGAACUCCAACAAGCUACUGGUCAGAGUUUUGAGUCUAGAAGCAGUGAGAGGAGACAAAGACGUGGGCAUGAAGGCCGAAACAAUCACAAAGAUAAAUUGGCUG